GAUGAAGAACGUAGCGAAAUGCGAAAAGUAAUGUGAAUUGCAGAAUUCAGUGAAUCAUCGAAUCUUUGAACGCACAUUGCGCCCGUCAGUAUUCUGGCGGGCAUGCCUGUUCGAGCGUCAUUACGCCCCUCAAGUCCCCUGUGGACUUGGUGUUGGGGAUCGGCGAGGCUGGUUUUCCAGCACAGCCGUCCCUUAAAUUAAUUGGCGGUCUCGCCGUGGCCCUCCUCUGCGCAGUAGUAAAACACUCGCAACAGGAGCACGGCGCGGUCCACUGCCGUAAAACCCCCCAACUUUUUAUAGUUGACCUCGAAUCAGGUAGGACUACCCGCUGAACUUAAGCAUAUCAAUAAGCGGAGGA
rnacentral:misc_RNA from 1 species